UGGGGUGUAGCUUAGUGGUAGAGCACGUUUAUGGCAUGUAUAAGGUCCUGGGUUCCAUCCCCAGCAACACAA
rnacentral:tRNA from 1 species